UACGGGGGGGGGCAAGCGUUGUUCGGAAUUACUGGGCGUAAAGGGCGCGUAGGCGGCCUGCUAAGUCGGAUGUGAAAUCCCUCGGCUCAACCGAGGAACUGCAUCCGAUACUGGCGGGCUUGAAUCCGGGAGAGGGAUGUGGAAUUCCAGGUGUAGCGGUGAAAUGCGUAGAUAUCUGGAGGAACACCGGUGGCGAAGGCGGCAUCCUGGACCGGUAUUGACGCUGAGGCGCGAAAGCCAGGGGAGCAAAGCGGG
rnacentral:rRNA from 1 species